rnacentral:rRNA from 1 species
UACGUAGGGUGCAAGCGUUAAUCGGAAUUACUGGGCGUAAAGCGUGCGCAGGCGGUGAGGUAAGACAGGGGUGAAAUCCCCGGGCUUAACCUGGGAACUGCAUUUGUGACUGCAUCGCUGGAGUGCGGCAGAGGGGGAUGGAAUUCCGCGUGUAGCAGUGAAAUGCGUAGAUAUGCGGAGGAACACCGAUGGCGAAGGCAAUCCCCUGGGCCUGCACUGACGCUCAUGCACGAAAGCGUGGGGAGCAAACAGG